GGACCUGUCAGGGCAACCUUCCUCCUUUCCCUGCUUGUGUGACAGAGCCUGUUUCUGACGCUAUUCUCUGUCUGUUUGAUGUUGCUGCAGGGACGGGAUGGCCCACAUGGAGAGAGCUCUGCCCUGGCUGCUGCUGCUGGCACUGGUCUUGCUGGGCAGCAGCACGGCGGAGCAGGACUGCCGAGUAAGCAGCUUCAAAGUCAAGGAGAACUUCGACAAGACCAGGUACAGUGGCACCUGGUAUGCCAUGGCAAAAAAAGAUCCUGAGGGGCUGUUUCUGCAGGACAAUGUGGUAGCCCAGUUCACUGUAGAUGAGAAUGGACAAAUGAGUGCCACCGCAAAGGGCAGAGUCAGACUCUUCAAUAACUGGGAUGUCUGUGCUGACAUGAUUGGCUCUUUCACUGACACACAGGAUCCUGCCAAGUUCAAGAUGAAGUACUGGGGUGUUGCUUCUUUUCUGCAGAAAGGAAAUGAUGAUCACUGGGUAGUGGACACAGAUUAUGAUACCUAUGCUCUUCAUUACUCCUGCCGCCAACUAAAUGAAGAUGGCACUUGUGCUGAUAGCUAUUCCUUUGUUUUCUCCCGGGACCCCAAGGGAUUGCCUCCAGGGGCACAGAAAAUUGUCAGACAAAGGCAGAUAGACCUCUGCUUGGACAGAAAAUACAGAGUUAUUGUUCAUAAUGGAUUUUGCUCUUAAAGAGAUCCGAAACUAUGGAAAGAAACCAUGUAACAGCACGAUGGAUGUAAAGUUAACACAUUGAUUGGGUGUUCUCUUGAAAACAUUUUAAACGGCUUCAUUUAGAUUUUGAGUAUAUUUAUCUGAGCUGUGUAGCUCAUCUUAUCAUCAACAC